rnacentral:ncRNA from 1 species
CUCGUUGUGCGACCAACGGUAGCCUACGACGGCGUGCAUCACUAGUAAUGGUGGUGUUCGAAGCCCGUCCGACAAUGUAGCCCCCCUUCAAGGGGUGCCGCUCUCCUGCGAGGGAGGCGGUAGAUACUCGGAGCAGUACCGGGUUGAGG